rnacentral:tRNA from 1 species
UGGUAUAAACGGUUAACACACUUGGCUGCUAACCAAAAGGAUGGAGGUUCAAGUCCCCC